rnacentral:rRNA from 1 species
UACUAGAGUAGCACUCGCAUAUCAAUAAGCGGAGGAAAAGAAACUAACAAGGAUUCCCCUAGUAACGGCGAGUGAAGCGGGAAGAGCUCAAAUUUGAAAUCUUAAAGGGUUUCCCUUUACGAAUUGUAGUUUAAAGAAGUGUUUUCUGUUGAGGUUUUGGUAAAAGUUCUUUGGAAUAGGACAUCAUAGAGGGUGAGAAUCCCGUAUUUGACCUUUACUUUCAACUUUGUGAUACACUUUCAAAGAGUCGGAUUGUUUGGGAAUGCAGUCCAAAAUGGGUGGUAAAUUUCAUCUAAAGCUAAAUAUUGGCGAGAGACCGAUAGCGAACAAGUACCGUGAGGGAAAGAUGAAAAGAACUUUGAAAAGAGAGUUAAACAGUACGUGAAAUUGUCAAAAGGGAAGCGUUUGACACCAGUGUUGUUUUUCUGAAAAUCAAUUAAAGAACUGUUUAUGCUAAGCUGUUUAGACUUUAUCAGCUAAUCUGUUUAGUUUUGAGCUUUUCUUAAUGCACUUUUCAGUUAACAAGUCAACAUCAAUUUCUUUUGCUGUAAAAAAGCUUGAGGAAGGUGGCUUGAGAUUCGUCUUAAGUGUUUAUAGCCUCUUGCCUAUGCAGUCGGAGAGAUUGAGGUCUGCAGCGUAGAUCCUUCGGGGCUAAAUGCAUUUGUGCUAAGUUAUAGCAUUUUAUAGACAACUUGUUGACUAUGAUUUGUCUUGUAGCUUACUCGCUUAUGUUAUUUUACCUACGCUUAGGAUGUUGAGCGCAUGUCUCUCUCU